rnacentral:rRNA from 1 species
GAUGAACGCUAGCGGCAGGCCUAACUCAUGCAAGUCGAGGGGCAGCACAGAAACAGCAAUGUUUUGGUGGCGACCGGCGGACGGGUGCGUAACGCGUAUGCAACCUACCUUUAACAGGGGGAUAACGGAGAGAAAUUUCCACUAAUACCCCAUAACAUCGAUCAAGGCAUCUUGAUUGGUUGAAAACUCCGGUGGUUAAAGAUGGGCAUGCGUUGUAUUAGGUAGUUGGUGAGGUAAUGGCUCACCAAGCCUACGAUACAUAGGGGGACUGAGAGGUUAGCCCCCCACACUGGUACUGAGACACGGACCAGACUCCUACGGGAGGCAGCAGUGAGGAAUAGUGGUCAAUGGGGGCAACCCCGAACCAGCCAUGCCGCGUGCAGGAAGACGGCUCUAUGAGUUGUAAACUGCUUUUAAACAGGGAUAAAGCACAGUAUGUAUACUGUGUUGAAGGUACUGUAAGAAUAAGGAUCGGCUAACUCCGUGCCAGCCGCCGCGGUAA